rnacentral:lncRNA from 1 species
UAGCGAACAUCUCUCCUCUUCUCUUAGUGUGCACAGUUUGCUUACAUGCCGCCUUAGGCACAUCUCUCUUUCUUAGUUUCACGCUGGACUAAUGAUAAUGAAUGAAGGUCAGUCUUUUAGUAAACGUAUAUAAGCAGCUCUUUAGUGUAUAAGAAAUUCUUUAGUGGUCGCACCAAAAGUAUGGUGGAGGUUGGUUGAAGAUGAUCUUACGCGGC